CUGUCUUUAGCAACACAUAUGCUGGAAUUGAAAUGAUACACAGAAGAUUGGCACAGCCCUUGUACAAAGAUGACAUGUGAAUUUGUGAAACGAUCAAACAUAAG